GCAGUGUGAGAGCGCUGGAGCCGUUCGUCUCCUCCUCCCCCAGCGGGCAGGGCUCAAGAGGAGCGCAUGGGAGCUCUCUCUCUCACUCACUCUCUCUCGCCCUCGUUUGUCUCUUCACAGGGUGAUGAGGGAGCAGCGCUGUGGGCGGUAGAGGAGGUGCGUGGCAGUCCAGGAAGCUCUCAUUCUGCCACUGCGUGCUGCUCCGCCGACGUCCGGCUUCACCGAAGUCUCCCCUCGCUCUCUCUCUCUCUCUCUCAGUGCGUGUGUGUGUCAGAGUUGCCUUCCCCCUGCCUCCUCUCUCCUCCCCUCUCAUUGAUUCCUCUUUCCGACUGCCUUUCGCGUGCGCUUCUCUGUGCCUCUCUGAGCUUCUCCCCUCUUUAUGAAUCGUCCUUUCUUGCUCUUUCUGCUUUACCGUUUCCCUUUUUGGCGUCUCUCCUCGUCCUCUUCACCAGCCCAGUAUAAAAAAGGUAGGUUACUCCUUUUUAUUACACACCCGAAAAAAGGCUUUUUGUGUUAGCUUGCCUACUUGUUUGGCCGGUUGUUUUUUUCCUCCUUUUUCACCCACUUGUCUUCUUUUCCUCGUCCUCCCCUCGCUGCCCUCCCCUCUCCCUGGCUGGGGCGUGUGUGGCGAGCGCGAGACUCUGGCAGGCAGAGCGGCGGAAAAUGAAAGCACAAAGCAGCAAAAUGCAUCAGCAUGAAUAUUAGAGAUGUCGUUAAAACCCAGACUCGUUUUUUCUCUCUCUCUCUCUCUCUCUCUCUCUCGCUCGCUCACUCACACACACACACACUCUCUCUCUCUUUGUAAGGAAGUAGGCCAGCAGAUGGUGCUAGCAGUUAUUACAUUAACUUUCACAACUUAACCCCCAAAGUACUGGAUUUCUCCCACACCACAGAUUGUCAACAUUGUAGCUUUUUUUUUUUGGGUGCUCAUGUAGAUUACUGCCAGCAAUGUUCUGAUUUAUUUAUGGAACAGCAUCAUCCAGAAGUACAUGAUGAACAAACAGAUGAACACAUUCCCAAAGGCUAAAAAUAUAUUCCUGAUACAAACAGCACACCAAUGUUUAAAUAUUAGAGAUGAAUUCAAUCUUUCAAUACAAGACACUGUAGCCUUACACUGCGCUGAGUCACCAGUGGUGAAUUCAAGCACUUGUGGGGUCAAGACCUGGUCAUCCUGCUGUGACUCCUCAGAAAAAAUGUGGGAUGUGCCCAGUACAUGCAGCUCUUCCUGUGCGACAGAAGCUAUCUUGGAAGAGAGCAGGCCUUUCAGAGGACUCCUGACUGCCUGCUACAGGGGCCAUGUGCAACGGCUGGCACAUGGUAUUGGGAAUUAUGCAGACACACGGCUGGCCUGAAGCCAGGGCAGAAUCAGCUGAGCAUUCCUGUUGUCCAGCCAACAACCUGCUUCACUUUUCAUGCAGCUGUACACAUCGGGCAUAUGGGAGUUGUGCGGUUCAACCAGAUCUGCUGCCCACACACCAGGGAGUAGGAAGGGGGCAUGCUUUUGAAGCCAAGUCUUAACAGAGGUUGGAAUUGGGGCACUGAUUGCCAAAUGCAAUACAUGCAAAAUAUUAAAUGCUGGCAAAAGCACAAACUGUUUGUUGUGUUCAUUUAUAUAUCUAUGUAAUAUGAUACAAUGACCUCAUUCAAUUUCCUAUAUACAAUUAUUUUGUAUUGAUUAUUGUUGCAUAAUUUAUCAUAUUGUUCCAUUCUGAUUCCUCUUACCUGCAAAGCAAUAAUUUGUUGUGAGUGUAUUGUUCAGUUUAUUUAAGUGUGUUGUGAAAUCUGUGGUUAAGUGUGUGUUGGCUACAACACAAUAUGACUUAACAUUGUGUUUACAACCUAAAUAAACCUAUGGAACUGA